CCUACGGGUGGCAGCAGUGAGGAAUAUUGGUCAAUGGCCGAGAGGCUGAACCAGCCAAGUCGCGUGAGGGAUGACGGCCCUACGGGUUGUAAACCUCUUUUGUCGGGGAGCAAAGAGAGUCACGUGUGGCUCAUUGAGAGUACCCGAAGAAAAAGCAUCGGCUAACUCCGUGCCAGCAGCCGCGGUAAUACGGAGGAUGCGAGCGUUAUCCGGAUUUAUUGGGUUUAAAGGGUGCGCAGGCGGAGGCACAAGUCAGCGGUAAAAUCGCGGGGCUCAACCCCGCUCCGCCGUUGAAACUGUGUCCCUUGAGUGCGCGAAGGGUAGGCGGAAUGCGUGGUGUAGCGGUGAAAUGCAUAGAUAUCACGCAGAACUCCGAUCGCGAAGGCAGCCUACCGGCGCGCAACUGACGCUCAUGCACGAAAGCGUGGGUAUCGAACAGGAUUAGAUACCCCUGUAGUC
rnacentral:rRNA from 1 species